rnacentral:tRNA from 3 species
UGCGGGGUGGAGCAGUGGCAGCUCGUCGGGCUCAUAACCCGAAGGUCACAGGUUCGAGUCCUGUCCCCGCUACCU